GCGUCUGUGGAAAGAAACUACUAAAGCAGGGGUUUGUAUACACGGCACAGGGUAUUCUGCAACGGAACUAGCCACAAAGCUACCAACAGCUAGUCAGAACAUGAGCCAGAAUGAGCUUGGUGGUGUUGGCAGGGUUAAAGGAGCACUGUCACGCUUUUUUCAGUUGAGCUUAUUUAGAAAUUAAAUGCUUACAUUAUGUGUGUAGGCACUUUUUAAAUCAUCGUCAGUGUAGCCGUUUCCUAAAUAUGGGGCAAAAGUCACUGGACAUGUUUGGCUUGAAUCUCCAGCCUGUGUUUCCCAGAAGGUAACGGGCGCUCAAACUCCAUCCUUGAACGCAGAGACUGGUUCAUGGACAGCCACCCAUCAAGGCGAUCACAUGGCACUCCCAGAAAAUAUGAACACAACAGUCGGUCACUUCUGAGGAAUGCAACAACAGGGAGUGGAGACAUCUCUAUCCCAUCCCCGUCCCCACAGUCCAUGAGCAAACAAGCCAAGUUCACAUGGGUCACAGCUCCACCAUCACAAGAUUCAAGGCUCCAAAAUUCAUACAACAUCAGUUUGUUGAUGUACAGUCCCCUCCAAAUGUAUUGGACCAGCAAGGUCAAUUCCUUUGUUUUUGCACUGAAGACAACUGAGUUUGAGCUCAAAAGAUGUACAGUACAUGAGAUGACAGAUCCGAAUUUCAGCAUUUAUUUCUUUUUUUUUUUUAAACAUAUCACCUUUUGCAUCAGUCCACCCAAUUUUUAGGUGAGCAAAAGUAUUGUAACAUUACAAUGACAGGUAUUUCUUGUUGCCCUGAUGUGUCCUGUUAGAUUGAUUGGUUAAACAAUAAGUAGUUCUGAAUGUCUACUCUUGGUUUUAGCCUUGGGUUUUGCCUGUGAAGACUGCAUUUGUGUUAGAAGCGAUAAACCAACAUGGAGACCAGAGAGGUGUCUUUGGGAGAAAAGCAAGCUUAGAAAAGAGGGUAAACCCACGUCACUAUGUUGAGCUCCACAGGGAGGGACACCAGAGGACAAAUAUGUAUAAUCCAAUUAUUGGUGUAAUUCAGCUGUCCCCCAGAGUGGGGGUGAUGAUGGCGGGCCAAAAAAACCUAAAAAAUAUUUUCCUCAUUGUGCAUGUGACUAGGCAUGUGACCAAGCACACGAUUGAACAUGUGUAGUGAGCCAAACCUUUGCACUUCCUGGUGCCCUGUGUGGCAGAUUUUUUCCCCCCAUAGGUUUCUAUUGGCGUCGCUGUCUAUACAUAUAUAGCUAUUCUUAGAUGAGACUGCAUUUUUGCUUGCAAAACAGAAAUGCUCCCUCGACGGUGGCUUCGCAGCUGCACACGUGCAAAUACUGCUCUGUAUGAGGGUCUGUCUAGGCCAUAUUUAAAACUUUGUUCAUAUACACUUUAUUAGGUAUUUAUUAAACUUCACUUCAAUAACUUCAAUAAAAUCCACUUAUUAUGAUGCAUUGUUCAGAGAUGCUCUUCUGCAUACCACUGUUGUAUUGUGUGGUUAUUUGCGUUACUGUCAGCCUCCUAUCAGCUUUGACCAGUCUGGCUAUUCUCCUCUGACCUCUCUCAUUAACAAAGCGUUUAUGUGUGUAGAACUGCUUCUCACUCUAUUUUUUUUUGUUUUUUGCACCAUUCUUUGCAAACUCUAGAGACUAGUGUGUGUCAAAAUCCCAUCAGGAGAUCAGCAGUUCCUGAGAUACUCAAACCACCCUGUCUGCCACCAACAAUCAUUCCAUGGUCAAAGUCACUUAGAUUUUUCCCCAUUCUGAUCACUGAUGUGAACAUUAACUGAAGCUCAUGACUCGUAUCUACAUGACUGUAUGCAUUGCGCUGCUACCACACAAUUAGCUGAUUAGAUAAUCACUUGAAUAAGUAGAUGUAAUAAAGUAAAAAUGUUCCUAAUAAAGUGCUGGGUGAGUGUAUCUGUAAAUAAAAGUGUACAUAUACUA